UGUCCUUUUCUCUCGGAGCAGCGGAGACAGGUGGUGCAUGGUUGUCGUCAGCUCGUGUCGUGAGAUGUUGGGUUAAGUCCCGCAACGAGCGCAACCCCUAUCCUUAGUAGCCAGCGUUUAAGGCGGGCACUCUGGGGAGAAUGCCAGGGAUAACCCGGAGGAAGGGGGGGAUGACGUCAAAUCAUCCUGCCCCUUAUGAUUUGGGCUACCCCCGUGCUACAAUGGCGUAAACAAAGGGAAGCGAAAGUGUGAAGUUAAGCAAAUCCCAAAAAUAACGUCUCAUUUCGGAUUGUAGUCUGCAACUCGACUACUUGAAGCUGGAAUCCCUAGUAAUCGCGGAAAGAAUGCCGCGGGUGAAUACGUUUCCCGGGUCUUGUACACACCG
rnacentral:rRNA from 1 species